GACUCUUGAUCAUAGUGACUCUUUUAGUUAUUGCUAUCUUGUUGUUCAUGCUAAUGUGAAACAAACCAUUACAAUGGUUUUCCUUUUGAUAGACAAGGUUAAGUGCAUCCAACGGCCACGAUUGCUUUAGGGUUCUUCGUUGCACGCUCAGCCCCAUCACACCAGGACGAUGCAGCUGGCUGUGGCACUGCGGCUAAUCUUUGCGGGAAUGAUCUGGUGCCUGGCAUACGCCGUCGUCGCCGCGAUCGCUGCCGCUACCGUCUUCCACUAAACCCAUGGGUAAACGAAUUCUAGGGUCGAUUCGAUCGGGUCUAGGGAAAUUUCGAUCAAGGAGCGUAUUGCGAUCGACAUUGCGGCCGGAUUGUCCUCUCGCGCAUCCAAAUCGAGCGAAAUUCCGGGCUUGACACUUCGCGUCUAGCUAGAGCCAAGGCAAUCGUACGGUGGAAGGCCUACGAUGGACGGCAUCCAGGCAUCCAAGCAAAAGAACCUAUGGAUGAAACCCAGGUGGCGGAAGAAGAUUCUCUCUUGGAGAUUCCCGGGCUCUCACAGUUUCUACAAAGGUGGUGGUGGUGGUGGUGGUGAUGCCGGGACCAAGAAGAAGAUUCUCUCAUGGAGAUUCCCAGUCUGAGCGAGGGGCUAUUACUCGAUUUCUAGGUGGUGGACUCCCUUUGUUCGUGUGUGUGGAUUGAUGGACGGAUGAUUCCCCACCAGCACAACACAGGGUCAAAUACUUUGCUUUCGCAGCUUUCCUUUUCCUCUUUCUUGCUUGCAUGCAAGGCCGCGGCUUUGACCCCUCUCUCAACCCCAAUAUAUGCCCAAUCCAUGGCGAAGUGACGCGAAGAAGCAGAUCGAGAGGGAUUUAACAAGUCGUGCCUGUGCUUUGGAGGCCCCACGAUACAAAGCCGAACGCUGCUUUAGACGUGUGGAGUUAUAUGUGUAAUGGGCGACAGACGUGACUUUUAAGUUAGUUUUUGGCAAAUGUAUGAAACUGUUUUGCUCUUAAUUGUUCCUUGCUAAGCUUGGCUAGGCAUUCUGUUUUCACAAAGUUUGGAUCUACAUCUCUUUGGAGACAAUGUCACAGGCCCCGAUGAAGGUGGCGGGAUUCCUUUGGAAAAAGCAUAUGAUCCCGUCCAUCUUUUCUGAUUUAUAGAGGCGUGACACUUGGAAAAAGUUGCAUCAUUCUGUUCACUCUUAUGCAUUUCAUCAUGACCAGAGGGGCGAAUCUCUUGCGGCAUCUUCCCAUACAUGCAAAUUGCCUAAUUGUUGGUGAUAAACAUGCUGUUUUCUACUCUAAACCCCCGUCACGUACGUACAUGGGGAUUGCAGACGCAAAAGAAAAAACCCUAGUACAUUUUCUAUGCAAAAGCUUCCGCUCCACGUACCUGCGAAUGAUGCCCACCACCACGCACCGCAUUUCCAUGAGACCACUCAUGCUUAACGCUAAUAAACAAUCCAUCCCGAUCUUAACCAACUCUCAAGUACAUAAUCUAGCAGCUUAGCCCUAAAUCCGGACUCUUACAUCACCACUCCAUCACCUUCUUAGCUGCCUAAGUAUGAGCCAGAUUCCUCAAACAGGAAAGUUACGUACACGUACAUGCAAAAACGAGAGAGAUUUUUAUAAAAAUAUAAAGAAAAAAGAAAAAUGUUGGGCUGUGUUGAUUGAGAGGACCUUCAUUCUGAUUCUCGCUGCACCUGCACCAACAAAAGCUUCUUUUGCAAACAAUGCUGUAAGCUUUUGUCCCUCUGCACAGUGCAAGUUUUUCUAUUAGG
rnacentral:lncRNA from 1 species